GGUUCCGUGGUGUAGGGGUUAACAUGCCUGCCUGUCACGCAGGAGAUCGCGGGUUCGAUUCCCGUCGGAAUCGUCA
rnacentral:tRNA from 1 species